rnacentral:lncRNA from 1 species
UCGUACUAUGUAGAGAAAAUGGACAAAUACCCCCAACCUUUACCCCAAAUUCCGACUACACACUUAUACUUUGCGGGGGUCCUAUGAUCCCCCUGAACUAUUUUAAAGUGGAAUAUUUACUCCCUUGAACUAUUUUAAAGCGGAAUAUUUACCCCCCUAAAAGUUCAUGCCCAGACAUUGUUUCAGGCGGUGAGCUACACUCGCUGCCACAUCAUCGCCAUGUCAUUUUUUAUUGCCACAUCAUUAACACGUUAUUUUUUUAUUUUACUCCAAAAAAUCAAUUAUUUAACUUUUUUCAUUUCCUUUUCUCUUUCAUUGCACCACUUCUAUGGCCAUUCUUUCUCAAAAAAUUCUUUUCUUUAAUUUUCAUUUCACUUUGUUUUUCACUCAUUUCUUCACUUUCCACUCUUAUUAUUUUAGAACUUCAAAAUGGACCACUCAGUCAUGGUGACCUCAUCUGACGGAAGUUAGGAAAAUGUUAGUCUGCAGUGGAUGAUGCUGGGCAACUUGCUUUUUUUGGAAAUUUUUUCGUGCUUUUCCUUUCCAGUGAUAAAUUGAAAAGGAAAGAGAAGAUUUUAUGUUGUUUUGGUAAAUUUUACGGGGAAGAAGGAAAAUUGCAAAGUUCAUUAUAGAUUUUUCUUUUUAGCCAAAUUUUCGUAAUCGCAUAGCUCGUGUUGAUAUCUUCUUAUCUAUUGUUUUUUAUUUAAUUUUUGGCUAUGGUUUUAACUUUACCAAAUUAAUAUUUUCAACUGCAAUCAGUUCAGUUGUCGAAGCAGCAGUUUUAAUGGAUGUAGUAACUAGUAAAUUGCGGUGACCUGGAUAGGAAAAGAUGGCUUUUGGGAGGAUUUACUACGUGCAUCAUAUCUGUGUUGCUCAACUGAUAGAGCGUUUCUUUUUUUUUUUCUUAAUUUCUCAAUUAUGAAAAUUGAUGUUGAAUUUAUGAUUGUGAAAAAAAUUUGGUAUUGAUUUUGAUUAUGGUGUUGAUUUGAU